UCCUUUCCCCUAUUGGAGGCAUUGCCUGCCAGUGACAACUGUUUAACGGCCGCGGUAUCCUGACCGUGCAAAGGUAGCAUAAUCAUUUGUUCUCUAAAUAAGGACUUGUAUGAAUGGCCGCACGAGGGUUUUACUGUCUCUUACUUCCAAUCAGUGAAAUUGACCUUCCCGUGAAGAGGCGGGAAUGCACAAAUAAAACGAGAAGACCCUAUGGAGCUUUAACUAACCAACCCAAAGAGAAUAGAUUUAACCAUUAAGGAAUAACAACAAUCUCCAUGAGUUGGUAGUUUCGGUUGGGGUGACCUCGGAGAAUAAAAAAUCCUCCGAGCGAUUUUAAAGACUAGACCCACAAGUCAAAUCACUCUAUCGCUCAUUGAUCCAAAAACUUGAUCAACGGAACAAGUUACCCUAGGGAUAACAGCGCAAUCCUAUUCAAGAGUCCAUAUCGACAAUAGGGUUUACGACCUCGAUGUUGGAUCAGGACAUCCUGAUGGUGCAACCGCUAUCAAAGGUUCGUUUGUUCAACGAUUAAAGUCCUACGUGAUCUGAGUUCAGACCGGA
rnacentral:rRNA from 1 species